UUCAAGUCUAUCUUUCCAUGGCUCUCACCUCCCUGGCCCAGACUUUCAGGUCCCCACUCAUUGUCUUCUUACCGUGAGGUUAGUUUGCAUCACUGGAUUGGGAUUUAUGGCAUUUAAUCCUCUUGGUUGUAUCAGGUGUGGAUGACUGCCCUUACGGGAUAAAGAAGCUCAGAGAGAUGAUGCACCUUGCCUAAGGCCAUAGAGCCUGGAGCACCAAGGCCAAGACUGGAACCCAGGUCUUCUGUUUCAAGAUCCAGGGCUCUUGACUCAACACCAGACACCUCCCAUCUGCAGUGGCUCAGAUCUCAUGGCUCCAUCAACCACAUCAAAUUGUACUCUCUGUUUGAACUCCUUUCUGGAGGCCAUUAAGCUAAAGGAGGCCACUUAGGAGGAUGAGGAUGACAACAAUGGUGGUGAUCAUGAUGAUGAAGAUUGCUGGAUUCUGCCGCUGAAACUACCUGUGAUUUUAUUGGUCAGUGUUUACAAGUGUGCAGGGAGAUUGGGUUCUUUCCUGAAGUACAGAAGGAAAGAUCUUCUGAGUUCCCAGGCACCAGGAUUGGACAGGUAAUUAUAAUUGUGUUGGGUGCUGUGAGGGAGGAGGAGGAGAAUGGGGAUCAGCUUGGAAGAUGGUGAUGGCUCCCUGGAGGUUGUGACUAUCUUGAUGAUAUGCGACUCCCCUCACCUUCCCAUUUCGCUCCUCUGUCUCCCCUUCCCCAGCCUCUCCAGCCACAGUCACCCAGAUCUUGUCUUUCAGGAUUUCUUCAUCCUUUUAUAGGGUUACACAGUGUCAUCUUCUCUUGGUUGUGGUCUUCUUUAUUUUCACCCAUCAUCUUUUCAGUGAAACAAGAAGCAUUUGUGGGCAGCUACUCUAUUUAGAAGAGGGGGUAUGAUAAAUAAUCAUCAUUUUACUUUUUUCAGCCACUUGCAGGAGCCAAGUUCAAACUUGGCCCUGAAAUAAGUGGAUGUGUGCGACGAGGGAAGAGAAGAGGGGCAGAGGGGGAAGAGAUGCUUUGUGAACACAGGCUUUCCUACCUUUGGCCUUGACUUUGUAUCUCUGUGGGCUGGUGAAGGACUGAGAGCCUCAGCUUUCUACCUUGGCUGCAAGGCAGUGGGGGAAAGUGCUGUGAAAUUAGGAAAUCUUUAAGAAGCAAACAUCUUAAAGCCUCCAUGUUUUCCCUGCCCUGGGUGCCAAGACAACUCACAAGUGAAGAGUAAGUGGUGGUGGCUGUGGUGGUUGGCAUUCCAUGGCUCAUGGAAGGUGAGAAGGGGAAGGAAGGUGGAACAUGGAGUCUCCAGGGAGCUGAGGUCAGUCAUGCAGAGAUGAGGCGGGCUGUUGCAGGGUGCCUCGGGGCCUUUCACCGAGUCUGUUCCUUAUCCUGACAACAGUGGGAAGGUGUAGAAGGCUUUAGAACAGAGGACUGGUAUAACCUUUUUGUCUUUUGAGAUUUCUUGGUGAAUGAAUUUAAGCCAUUUUGGCUGACCAGUACUUUCCAGGCUAUCUUGGGAAAAUAGGACCUCCAUCAGGAGAGGCUGGAGGGCUUCCCUAGUGGUUCACUGGU